rnacentral:rRNA from 1 species
GCGCAGCAGGCGCGAAAACUUUACAAUGCGGGCAACCGUGAUAAGGGAACCUCGAGUGCCUGUAUAUGCAGGCUGUCCAGGUGUCUAAAACACACCUGAAGAAAGGGCCGGGCAAGACCGGUGCCAGCAGCCGCGGUAAU